CCGUCAGGAAUCUCGUCCAGGCAAAUUAACUUCCUCCGAGUCCCUGGUCUCCCUUGUCCUCCUGCCCUGCUUGAUUCGUGUGUGUGUGUGUGUGUGCGUGCGUUCCAGGCAAAUUAACUUCCUCCGAGAGUCCCUGCUCUCCCUUGUCCUCCUGCCUUGCUUGAUGCAUGUGUGCGGGUGCGGGUGUGUGUGUGUGUGGGUGUGGGUGCGUAUGUUUUUAGUUCGAGUGUGGAUGCUCGGCAAUAGUGAUGUAGGUCUUUUUGUAGAACAGAAUGAUUAACCCACAAUAGUGAUGUAUGUUUUUAGUUCGAGUGUGGAUGCUCGGCAAUAGUGAUGUAUGUUUUUAGUUCGAGUGUGGAUGCUCGGCAAUAGUGUGGAUGCUCGGCAAUAGUGAUGUAAGUCUAUUUCUAGAGAAAAUUUCUAGGAAUUUGAUUGACGGAGGCAUCACUAUCUGGCGUUGGAUUAUACAUUUUUGCAGCACUACCACUAUUGUUUUUGUUUGGCAGGAAUGAAUGUUCUAGGGUUGGAGCAGAGGGGGUUGAGCAGCAGUUGAGCUUAGGUGAGUAUUCAGGUUCUAUAAUUGACCCACUAAGAAAAGUAUGAUGCCAGUUAUGCAAUUUCUUUUCAUAGAACGUUGUUAUCUUUAUCUUAGUGAAUGUACAGUCUAAUGUUCAGUUCAUUGUCUCAGGCAUGAAUUUACAGAUUCAAGAUUUUCUUACACAUGGGGAUUUUUGUUCUCCUAAUGUUUCUAGGUAUUUCUCAUUAUCAAGAGCAUUUACAUUGCUUUACAGAGUAUACAUCAAGCACAGCUGAAGUACAUAUCAAAUAGUUGUAUUCCAGAGUUGUUUGAUUCGCAUGAUAAACAUUCUACAAAUAGUUCCCAUGCCAUAAUAAGUUAUAAUAAUGUUUUGUUUCUCUUAUAUUUAUAUGUUUACACCACUACUUUUCUUCCAAUUUUGUUGGAGGCUCAUAUCAGGUUGCUUUGGAGGUUGAUAUCAGGUGGCUACUCAUGUUUGGCUUGGUGGCUUGGUGCCUAAAUUUUAGAUGUUUCAUUAAUCUUGGCUGCUUUUCUCAUCCGUUUUGGGUUUUAACCUUGGGUAAAUGGACUGAUAUUUUCCUUGUCUGUAAACUAUGUGCUGACAUGCUUAUGCUCUAACAAGUUCCUCUGCUUUCAUUUCACACAUUGUCAGAUCUAGAAGGUUGCAGCUUCUUUGUUCUCCUACUCAAGAGUUGCUCAUUGUUCAGUUCAAGCCAUGUUCUUCAGGUAUCUUCCUUUACAUUUUCUUUACGCGAUGGUCAGUUGAUCUAGCCAAGGGCUUCUCUAUUGUUCUUGGUUUAUUGGAAUAUGUUUUGCUUUGCUAACAAAAUAGUAGGCAUGUGUGUGAGAUUACUUCUCGGUGAAUCUAACAUAAGAUUCUACCUUUAAUUCCAGUCUGUUUUUAACUCUCACAAGCUCUUUUUGUUGUUAUGUGUUGCUAUAAGUUUGGACUUGCAUAGAGAACAAUUGAAAACUUGACCACGACAAUUAUAUUUACCAAACAUGAUUUGAAUUCUUGGGCGUGCCUAUAUGUUCUCUCUAUUUUAGAGUAUGAUGCUCUCAACAAUCGGAAGAAUCAACAUGUAAAUCAAUUUAUAAGUAUAAAAUCUUGUGAGAUGGAUCUCCAUUUUCAAUUGGCGGCUUUUCUUAAACAUUCAUACCUUUGAAAGCUUCUACAAGACUCUCCUUGGACCAUUCAGCACAUGUUCUGUACCCCUGAGCAAGUUCAUGGAUACCCCUAUACUCCAAUAAGAUAUUAUAAGAACGCAACUAAAACAGAAUUUUCGUCAAAUCAUUUCUCGAGAUGCCCCCUGUAACCUAUGUUGCGUUUAUGACUGAAUUGUCUUUUCUUUAAGACUAGCAUGGUAUCAGCCUUUGGCAUCUUUAAUCUUCAAUGUAGAAGAUUAAGAUCAAAUAUGAUCAUAGCAAACACAAAUGAACACAAUAAAAAAGUUGAUGGUAAAAUUGUUCAGUGUCUGCCAUAUUAUAUUUUGUUAUAAGUGAUAGUAGAAACUAACAAUGAAUUCUAUCUACAUUCAAUGAACUAUGGAGAACAUGUGCUUGGGAGGGGAUUUGGAAAGAAUAGUUACGACGAGUUCUUGUUUUACUUAAUAAUCUUCAGUUUUCUAAUUCAUAGCUCUGUGUAGUGUGUAAACACUAACCAAAGGAGGAUCACAUUUUGUUAUUCUUUUUUUAAAUAAUUAUGAGUGAGUUGCAUUCUGUUGGUUCACUAAACUCGCCUUAUUGAUUGUUUACAUACAGAAAUAAACCCUUUUGGUCAUUGUAGAUGUGUACUGUUGUAACAAUGCAUGUUAGCUACAGAUGUUAUAUAAUUCUUUUUAUAAAUCUUGACUGAAUCAAGAUAUCUUCUCCAGGAAAAUCAUCGUUUCUUCACUUCCAAGGCCAGCGUCACUCAACUUUGCUUGGAGCAUGCUUAUUUGUUUCUACAUUGCCUUUGCUUAAUAUUUCUCUUGAUUUCCUAUGUGAUUGAGAUGUGUGCCUAUCUCGACUGUUCUGUUGUGUUGGCAAUUUCUCGCCACUGGCCCAUUAUAACUGUUGUUCACGUACCUGGUGCACUUCUAAUUUUGAAUUGUGCUUGCUGAGUGCCCUCAUUUUUUUACUACCUUCCGUUGGUGUAUAUGCAAGCUGUAGAGCUUUGUUGUUCAAUCUGGUUAUAGCUUUAUUCUCCUAUUUUCUUACUCAUUCCCACAUUGUCUUAGUUAUUAGAAAUGUAAAUAGGCCAUGUGAAAAUAAGCUAAAGUAGCUUUUUUGGGAGAUUUUUUGUGACACUGUUUUUUGUUCAACAGAACCAUUUUUUUGCUUAGUAAAUUACAUUAUGUGUCCAGCAUCUGAUGGUUUGCUACCUAUAUUACUGGCUUGCAUGCUUUGAGAAAAUGAUUUUAGCAUGUUUGUCAUUCAUAUAUCUGUCCAUCUGCGAUGGAAAAAAAUGUUAUUUGCUCAUGCCUCAUGUCAUAAAAUCAAAUGUCUGCAUCAUGUUGAUAUUCUUCAUAAAGAAACCACUUGCUUUUACAAGUACUGGACUAUUGUGAGUGUCGUCGUCUUCAUUGAUGGGAGGAUGAGAGCGGCAAUAGCGCUAGCCAGCGAGGCAGGCUGCUUGGCUCUGGGGCCGACACCUACCGUCCACUUUCGUUGGGCGGAUCUGCCACUUCAAAAACUUUGGUGGCCAUAAGCAAUCUCAAGAGCUUGUUGUGAUGAUUUGAAU
rnacentral:lncRNA from 1 species